GCCUAGUUAGCUUAGUUGGUAGUGCGUCUGCCUCGCAAGCGCUAGGCCGCGGGUUCGAUUCCCGCGCCGGGGCG
rfam:Asian citrus Psyllid, Diaphorina citri - Florida Strain, whole genome shotgun sequence.